UACGUAGGUGGCAAGCGUUGUCCGGAUUUACUGGGCGUAAAGAGCGCGCAGGCGGUCGAUCAAGUCGCGUGUGAAAGCCCCCGGCUCAACUGGGGAGGGUCACGCGAUACUGACCGACUCGAAGGCAGGAGAGGGUAGUGGAAUUCCCGGUGUAGUGGUGAAAUGCGUAGAUAUCGGGAGGAACACCAGUGGGGAAGGCGAGUUCCUGGGCUGUUUCUUGACGCUGAGGCGCGAAAGCUAGGGGAGCAAACGGG
rnacentral:rRNA from 1 species